rnacentral:rRNA from 1 species
UACGUAGGAUGCAAGCGUUGUCCGGAAUUAUUGGGCGUAAAAGAGCGCGCAGGCGGUAUGACAAGUCAGAUGUGAAAGAGGCCGGCUUAACCGGCAAGGGUCAUUUGAAACUGUCAGACUAGAGUGCAGCAGAGGAUAGUGGAAUUCCGGUGUAGCGGUGAAAUGCGUAGAGAUCGGAAGGAACACCAGUGGCGAAGGCGGCUACCUGGCCUAAUACUGACACUGAGGCACGAAAGCGUGGGGAGCAAACAGG